rnacentral:rRNA from 1 species
UACGUAGGGUGCGAGCGUUGUCCGGAAUUACUGGGCGUAAAGGGCUCGUAGGGGGCCAACUAAGUCAGACGUGAAAUCCCUCAGCUUAACUGGGGAACUGCGUCUGAUACUGGAUGGCUUGAGUUCGGGAGAGGGAUGCGGAAUUCCAGGUGUAGCGGUGAAAUGCGUAGAUAUCUGGAGGAACACCGGUGGCGAAGGCGGCAGCCUGGACCGACACUGACGCUGAGGAGCGAAAGCCAGGGGAGCAAACGGG